GUCUUAGUUCCAGUGGAGGAAUGCUGCCACCAGGAGAUACAACAUAAAUUCCAUUAAAUUGGAAGUUAAGAUUGCCACCUGGACACUUUGGGCUCUUCCUACCUUCAAGUCAACAGGCUAAGAAGGGAGUUACAGUGUUGGCUGGGGUCACUGACGCAAACGAUCAAGAUGAAAUCAGUCUACUACUCUGCAACAGAGGCUCUCUUUGUAGCCCAGGCUGGAGUACAGUGGCAUGAUCUUGGCUGCUUGCAACCUCCGCCUCCUGGGUUCAAGCAAUCUUCCUACUUCAGCCUCUGAGUAGCUGGGAUUACAGGCACAGGCCACCACAUCCAGCUAGAAUAUUCUUGGCUGCCAGAAGCAGUCCCUUCCUGUUUGCCAGAGGAAAAGAGUCU
rnacentral:lncRNA from 13 species